rnacentral:rRNA from 1 species
AUGUUGUUUAAUUCGAUGAUACGCGAAGAACCUUACCAGGUCUUGACAUCCCCCGCGAUGCUUUAGAGAUAAAGCGGAGGUAUUCGGGGAGACAGGUGGUGCAUGGUUGUCGUCAGCUCGUGUCGUGAGAUGUUGGGUUAAGUCCCGCAACGAGCGCAACCCUAUUGCUAGUUACCAUCAUUAAGUUGGGGACUCUAGCGAGACUGCCAGUGAUAAACUGGAGGAAGGUGGGGAUGACGUCAAAUCAUCAUGCCCCUUAUGACCUGGGCUACAAACGUGAUACAAUGGCUGGAACAAAGGGAUGCGAAGCAGUGAUGUGGAGCGAAACCCAUAAAAGCAGUCUCAGUUCGGAUUGAAGUCUGCAACUCGACUUCAUGAAGUCGGAAUCGCUAGUAAUCGCGGAUCAGAACGCCGCGGUGAAUACGUUCUCGGGGUUU